CUCUUUCAAAUUAUUUCCUUAGCGUUUUUUCCACAAUAUGAUAAGGAUAUUGUUCCACAAUUUUAGUUUUAUCAUUCUCCGAGAGGUGCAUAUCCUUACAUAAUUCAUAUGAAUCCUCUGGUCACUAUGUGGUUGUUCUGGCUGAGAUAGAGAAAUUAUCUGGGAUUAUCCCAUUGUAUCUCCAAGCUUGUAAUUUCUACAAAAAAAAAAGGCAUUGAUCUUCAUAACCAUCUAAGAUAGAAAGAUAAAAAAUUUUCAAAUCUUUUUGACGUGUUACUUGCAGAUGAAUUGCUUCAACAAUCAAGUGGAAUCUUGGACUAUGGUUUGUAUAUAGUAACAUACGCAGAGUGUCUUUAUUAUGGUAAAAGAGUUCCUUUGAUUGAGUUCAACCCCAACAUACUUUGUACACGUUAUGCUGCUCUAUUGUGGGAUUAUGGCAUGAGAAAACAAGAAGCAAGUGCUCAUAGCGAUGUCGAAGAACCCUUGAGGCUUGGCAGGCAUAGCCGAAUAAAUAGUGUCACUGAAGUUUUAGAAAUAUGAUGAUUGUUGAAUUUAUUACAUUGGAUAAUC